CCUACGGGAGGCAGCAGUGGGGGAUAUUGGACAAUGGGGGGAACCCUGAUCCAGCGACGCCGCGUGAGUGAAGAAGUAUUUCGGUAUGUAAAGCUCUGUCAGCAGGGAAGAAAGAAAUGACGGUACCUGACCAAGAAGCCCCGGCUAACUACGUGCCAGCAGCCGCGGUAAUACGUAGGGGGCAAGCGUUAUCCGGAAUUACUGGGUGUAAAGGGAGCGUAGACGGUUAAGUAAGUCUGGAGGGAAAGGCCGGGGGCCAACCCCGGGACUGCUCUGGAAACUAUUGAACUUGAGUGCAGGAGAGGUAAGCGGAAUUCCUAGUGUAGCGGUGAAAUGCGUAGAUAUUAGGAGGAACACCAGUGGCGAAGGCGGCUUACUGGACUGUAACUGACGUUGAGGCUCGAAAGCGUGGGGAGCAAACAGGAUUAGAUACCCCUGUAGUC
rnacentral:rRNA from 1 species